AUGGUCGGCUGAUUGGAAAUGCUCUCUAUUUCUCCAGAAGGUGCCUGUCCUUGAAGAAGCCAUUCAUUGCCUGAAAAAUAAAAAGUUAAUUACAUAUCCUCCAACGAUGUUUUAUUUUUCUACUUGAAUGACGUGCUUUUAAGAUAUGGCUUUGGAAUCCAUGUUCUUGUACUGAGCAAGUAAUGGAGCUCGAAUUCUACCUCUGGCAUCUCUAAAGAAGAAAAUGCAGCUUCGGGCUUAAGAACUGCACGAAGGUGGCCAUCUAGAAGCCAGGAGAGCUCUCACCAGAGACCUGUCAUGCUGGCACCUUGACCUUGGACGUCUACCCUUCAGAACUGUGAGAACCUAAUUUUCUGUUGCUGAAGCCACCCAGUCUGUGGUAUUUUUUGGCAGUCUGAGCUGACUAAGACAUUCCCCUGAGAACAGAAAUGAGACGGGAUAUCGGCGAUCAACAUUUAGCAUCAUGGAAAGGUUCUAAUUUGUAUAGCAGGGAUGGAAAAGAAGCAAAAAGAAUGAACAUGAGAAAUAAAGCUGUGAUUAUGAAGAGAUGACGUGUUUUUAAAGCCUCUCCUUGCCAAAGGAGAGCUGUGUUGGUAUCUAUGCGAGUGAGAGACCAAGUCAGGUCUCCGUUACCUAGUUAUCCAAACAGGCCAGUUUGUGGAACUAGGGUCUACUGUACAAAGGCAAAGCUUCACUGUGAUCAAGUGUGAGCCUCUGCUUGGUCUUGGCCUCUGUGCACUUAUGUCCUUAGAAGCCUAAUGAGAAAAAGUAUAGAAGCACAGGCUGUGUCAGGUCAGGAUACAGGUGUUUGGGACUCUGCAUACCACAUGAUGAUGAUGACGAUGGUGACGGUGAAAAUGACCACCAUCCAGAAUACCUCCUACGGUGAAGGCACUGAGCUAAUGAGCACUUUACACGGAUUAUUUCCUUUAACAACCGCAGAAGUCUUAUUAUCAUUUCUAUUUUUUACGGAGGGGGAAAGUCAAAGGGAUUAAAUAAUUUGUUGAAAUGCAUCCAGCUAAACCUGGAAUAAUAGUCCGUUAGUGAGUCUGAUUCCAGAUUAUUAGUGUUCUGAUCAGAAUGAAGGAACUGAGAAGGGAGCCUGCUCGCUCUGCUGCCAAUCCGCUGCUCGGCUUGUCCUCGUCUCCCUCCCUUCUGCCUCUGCCCACGGAUUCAGUGCACGUGGGUCCUCGAAGCCAGAGCUGCCCUGUGUGAUCAGAAACAGGGACCUGGUCUAAUGUAACCAUGGCUUCCUACUCUAGGAUGUGGGGCUAGGUCCGCGCCUUCUGCCCUUCUCUCCCAAUAGCCUCUGGAAUAGCCUACGGCUGAAGAAUCUCUUACAAGUAUUUUUUCCAGUCCCUUGCCUUUCCAUUUUUGGUUUCGUUCAGCUUAGCAACAUCUCUUUGUGACUUGUACAAUGAGAUUCUAUCUUAUAACAAACAAUGAUAAUAACAAACAUUGAUUACAGUACUUUCUGUGCCA